UACGAAGGGUGCAAGCGUUACUCGGAAUUACUGGGCGUAAAGCGUGCGUAGGUGGUUUGUUAAGUCUGAUGUGAAAGCCCUGGGCUCAACCUGGGAAUUGCAUUGGAUACUGGCAGGCUAGAGUGCGGUAGAGGGUAGUGGAAUUCCCGGUGUAGCAGUGAAAUGCGUAGAGAUCGGGAGGAACAUCUGUGGCGAAGGCGACUUUCUGGUCCUUAACUGACGCUGAGGCGCGAAAGCGUGGGGAGCAAACAGGG
rnacentral:rRNA from 1 species